rnacentral:lncRNA from 1 species
CUAUGGCAUAUGGAAGUUCCCAGGCCCGGCAUGGAACCUGCACCACAGCAGGGACCUGAGCAGCUGCAGUGACAAUGCCAGAUCCUUAAUCCACCACACCACAAGGGAACUCCAUUUUUUUUCUCUCUCUUUUUUUAAUAGUUUUAGAAGUCCCUCAAGUGAUUCUGAUGUACAACUGGGCUUCAGAAAGGAUGCUUAAUCUCCAGGGCAGUGGUACUCAGCUUUGACUGCACAUUAGAAUCUUUUGGGGAGUUCCCCUUGUGGUGCAGCGGAAACGAAUCCAACUAGGAAUCAUGAGGUUGUGGGUUCAAUCCCUGACCUUGCUCAGUGGGUUAAGGAUCUGGUGUUGCCAUGAGCUGUGGUGUAGUCACUGCAAUGGCAUGGGUUCGAUCCCUGGCUCUGGAACUUCCUCAGGCCAUGAGUGUGGCAAAAAAAAAAUUCUUUAAAUUUUUCACUGCCUGACUCUAAUGAAUUUUAUUUAAUGAACUUUUGCUAUGUGUAGAUCAGCGUACUGAAGCUCCUGGAAAUUUUUAUGGUACCUUAAUAAUCAAUCAUUAUUUCAUGUUAAUGAGAAUAGCUUGAACAAGGACAUACGUGGUCACCCAUUUAACAGUAUAUUCAUGGAAAGUCAGCCCUAAAGAGCACCUUAGCUGAUCCAGGCCAAAACUUUCAAUUUCAGAUGACAGCCUGUGAUCCAGAGAGAUUUUCUCUCUUCUUAAGCCUCUUCCAGACCAGUUCUCAAAGUGCAGGCCCUGGACCAACAGCACCAGCUUUUUAGAAAUGCAAAUUCUCACGCCUUGCAACAAACCUACUGAAAGAAACUCUGGGCUUGGGCCCAAGAAGAUGUGGCUGAACAAGCCCUCCAGAUGAUUCUGAUCCAUGAUAAUGUUUGAGAACCGCUUCCCCACGUUUUAGCUUUAAAUUAUCUUGGGGCAAUAGCUUCUCUUAGAUCACUCUCAGCCACAUAGAGAAUUACUUCCUGUUUUAUGUCUAAAUUUGUCUCACUAGAGCGUUGAAGGGCGUGGCACACAGUCUGCGCAAGUGCAGAGGCCCCUUUGGGGUAACAACGCAGAGAAGGGCUCUGCAGAAGGGGGAGAGGAAGAGCAGGGAGCAGGAGAAAGGAGGGCUCAGUGCCCUCCCCCUCCCCCCCAUUACCAUUGUUUGAUACUUUGAUAAUCCAGGAUCCGCUCCAGCAAGGAGCACGGCGCAGUUUUAUUUGGGGUCUAGAUUUCUAAGACAAAUAAUACUGAGUCGAGGGCGCGUACAGAGUGGGGGGAAAACUUAGGAGCCGUGUGGUAGAGACACAGGCAUCUCAGAUGCUGGCCAGCAUUGUUCCGGAAAUUGUCGGAAUAAAGUGAGAGAGAAUGGAGAAGGAUCUAGCCCUCUGGACGCUGAACAUUGAGUUAAGAAAGGCUCCAGAUGACUGGCUGUGAUCCAGGGCAGGAUUCAGCUGCCCCCCACCCACUCCUGCCAACCCAGUGUUAGCGGAGAAAUCUGGGGACCCAGGAUGCCCAAGAGAUGGGGAUUCAGGAUGCCAAGGGAGCCAUGUAGGUCUUUACAGUGCCAGGUGGGAGGGCUGUACAGUGGAUGGCUAUAGUUCUGUCUGCCUAGAGUGAUGCUCUCUUCUCAGAAAUACUGCUUUUCUUUUUUUUAAAUUUUAUAUGUAAUUUAUUUUAUUUUAUUAUUUUUUAAUUUUUUUUAUUACUCAAAUGAAUUUAUCACAUCUGAGGUUGUAUAAUGAUCAUAACAAUCUGAGAGAAAUACUGCUUUUCAAUGUGUGCUUCAAUGGGAGCCCCAAGUUUCUUACCAAUCUGCUUAACCCAGUGGUUGGCUGGAGGUAGGUGUGUUCCCCAAGCUUGGCCAGUCCUAGGGAUUCCUUCCUUCCUUCCUUCCUUCCUUCCUUCCUUCCUUCCUUUCCUUCUUUCGUGUCUUUUUAGGGCUGCAUCUUCGGCAUAUGGAGGUUUCCAGGCUAGGGAUCAAAUAGGGGCCUUAACUGCUGGCUUACUAUGCCACAGCCAUAGCAGUGCCAGAUCUGAGCAGCAUCUGUGACCUACACCACAGCUCAUGGCAAUGCCGGAUCCUUAACCCACUGAGUGAGGCCAGGG